rnacentral:rRNA from 1 species
UACGGAGGGUGCAAACGUUGCUCGGAAUCAUUGGGCGUAAAGCGCACGUAGGCGGUCGGCUAUGUCGGGAUGUGAAAGCCUCGGGCUUAACCCGAGAAGGGCAUCCGAAACUGGCCGGCUUGAGUACGGAAGAGGGUCUCGGAAUUCCCGGUGUAGAGGUGAAAUUCGUAGAUAUCGGGAGGAACACCAGUGGCGAAGGCGGAGACCUGGGCCGAUACUGACGCUGAGGUGCGAAAGCGUGGGGAGCAAACAGGG